GUCCGAGUGCUGGAAUAGGUAGACAGUGCGAACUUAAGAUUCGCUGAUUUAAUAUCGUAAACGUUCAAGUCGUUUCUUGGAUA
rnacentral:tRNA from 1 species